CCAGAUGAUCGGGUAACCGCUCUGUCUUUUAUAGAAUGAGAGGAAAGUCCGGACUCCACGUAAACAUAGUUCCGGGUAACGCCCGGCAAGGGAAACCUUAGGGAAAGUGCCACAGAAAAUAUACCGCCUAAAUUUAUUUAGGUAAGGGUGAAAAGGUGCGGUAAGAGCGCACCGUGUUUCAGGUAACUGAAAUAGCAGGGAAAACCCAACUAGGAGCAAAACCAAAUAGGAAUAACAUUUAAAACAGUUUACGGUUUUCGUUAUUCGGGUAGGUUGCAAAGAGGUUAAUGGUAACAUUAAUCCAAGAUAAAUGGUUACCACGUAUAUUUUAUAUACCAUACAGAAUCCGGCUUAUAGACUAUCUGUGCUC
rnacentral:RNase_P_RNA from 2 species